AUGCUUUACACUCUGGUGGUGGCAGGUGUCUAGUUAUGGAGGCUGCGAUAGCUCCUGCUAAAGUUUCUCUCAAUCUUUAAAUAACACUCCAAACAAAUUGCCAAUGUGGAACAUAAUGUUAUAGCCAAAAGUGACAUCAGUCUUGCGUUAUAAGACAAAUGCACCUUGUGCAACAGGGGUGAAAUGGCUAGCCAGUUAACAGCGCGCCCUGGUAGCAUUUCAAUUUCAAUUGGCGGCAUCACUUAUAGUAGUUGUUUUCUUGACUAUGCUACAGCUUUUGUGGGUUGAUACAGUAACAGAGAAAUGUUCGGAGGGACACCCGAACAACACAGCGCCAAAGCAGACACGUCUUCUUACGUUAGAAGAGAUCGUAUCACCAAACAACACAGAAACUAAGUUAGAAACUUCCUUGAAAGCGAUAAUGUCGAGGUCCUGGCAGGAUUGGAGGUAGGAUUAGCCACAGUGGAGGCUGCCUCAAGAGUUAAUGAAGCUGCAAAUAAGACUGACUCCCCCAGAAAGCUCCCUUGAUCUGGAAGGACGAAACACCGCUGGGUUUGAUUUUCCUGGGGGCGAGAGGAGACGAGUGGCGGUGGGGGUUUCAGCAGGGCUUGUCCAAAGUUUGCACAGCUAUUUCAGUUGUUGUACGUGACAGUGUGUGCAUGUUUUCUUUGCGUGCGUCUGUGUGUAUGGGGGUAGGAUGUAUUUAUGAAGGGGUAUCCAUGUUGUAUUACUUUACAUCUAUGUGCUUUAGUAUGCUGUAGCCUGUAUAUAAUGUUUCUGUGUGUACACAGAGGUAAAUAAUUGACAUGGCUGUGCAUCAGUGCCUCACAGCGAGAGGGAGGAAAUCUAUCAGCUCCAAUGAUCCAGCUUAAUGCCUCUUCCUUCCCUGGUCUCAAUGUACACUAUCCGUCCCAAAUAGCACCUUGCACCCAUAUUGCUUCUCUUUCUUGGUCAAAAGUAGGGCGCUCUGUCAGGAAUAGGUUGCUUUUUGGGAAGUAGACUAUAUGGCCCAGGAAGGCAGGACAACGACAUAGAGUUGCAUUAAAAACUGUUUCACCAAUGUCUAUUGUAACAAACAAGCAUUGUAAUUACUCUCCUCUGUCUCAUCAUUGCCCAUCACAUCCAGGCUGGAAUAAUAUACUGUAACCCCCACUGGGAAUGUUUGGGAAAACAGCAUGCGUCUGGUGAAAUUGCUGAUCAGUGGGGUGCAUAAACAGCCAGCCAUGAUAUUGGUCGAUUGUUUACAAGCUAAAGUGGAUUUUUUUCUCUAUUUCACAGAACUUGCAUAUUGUUAGGGAAAAUGACAGUGAAAGUUGAGGUUUCUAAGUUGGGGGAGGACAGAGAAUAAGAACGGUAAGGUUGUUUAGAGGUGACAGCUGUGUGUGUCUUAUGUAGAUUGUCUUGUGUUGUGAGACAUACUCGAGGAGGACAAAGAAUUAUGGUAUUAUUUGGUUGUGGGUUACCUCACUUGGGGGCUUAGACACAAUUGCUUGUGCACUCAAGUGCGCUCAAUUCACUCAGUGCUUUGAGUGAAAUUAGUGGAUAGCUCACCACAAACACAACAUCAAAAACGACCCAGUGUGUUGGCCCUGCACUGUUAUUUAACCUUGAGGGAAAAAUGAAAACACUAACUGACCACUGAUGCUUUUACAAUCUCUGUCUGAUGAGGUGAAAAAAGCCAAUGAUUUCCAGUGAUAAAUGUGCAUGUAUUCUGGGUCAGGGGGCAGACUAAAUGCAUUGCUGCAGCUGUAAACUAUUGACCGCUGUAAAUGGUACCAUGCUAACAGCCAUUAAGCCUGGCCAAAACCAUGAGACACGGGAACACAAAUAAGGGUGUCUUCUCAAUCUCCCCCAUUAUGGUCAAUGACAAAUUCCUGCUGCAAAUAUGGCUGUAAAUCCAACUUAUUACUUGUACAUACCCUUGAAGGGGAAUCCGCCAUAACGAACAUAUUAAACUUAAUGAAUGUUGUACAGUGCCGUGACUUCUUUUCACAUGAGAUCUACAGUGCAGUGGGAGGCACUGCAGUCAUGUCAUUGGGAUGAUGCUUCUAUCCCACAAAACACAAUAUUCUAAUGUGUGUGCUUUAAAAAUGAGGGUGGUGGAGAAUGUGGGGUUAUAAUUCACGAAACAGCUUAACCUGUCUCUAGGGCUGUAGACAUUUGGAAUGUCCAGCGGUCCACGUUCCUAGCUCUGUGUUAAACACAUUAGUGACACUAGACCACAGCGAGGAUGGCAGCUCAGAACCUGACAAAUCAGUCAGCAUUUUGGACAUUCUGGCUGCAAUUACAACACAACAUUAAUUACUCUAAAUUUACCAGCAGCGCCGCCUCGCCCAGCCAAAACUCGGACCAUUGUGAUAAAACCGAAUUACCUGGGAUGGCCAGGUAAUUUGGUAACCUCAUCAGUAAACUGCCACAUGGCCUUUUCUAUGUUUGUGUGACUGUGGACUGAAAUAACUUAUUAGACAUUUUCUUGUGGAACACCUCAGUGUGGUGACAGUUAUGUACUGUUUUAUGUCACACUUGUCACAUGUAUGUGCAUGCAUGUCUGGCAUGACGGUUUCUGGAACAAUUUACAGUAGCUAGUGUGGUCGAAGGAAGAGCUCUCAGGUAAGAACCAUGUAUCUUUGGAGGGUUAACAAGCUCUGGGAAAUGUCUCAAAUAAACACAUGCGUCUGAAGAAUAAAUGUGCUUCAGACCUGCCUUCGCAAUUUGACGAAGCGCAUGGAUGAUGACACAAAGCUCCAAUUAUGAGUCUUUUCACUGAAGCAAUGGGUUUUGGGAAAAGUUCUGAUAACUUGUAUUUAAC
ensembl:lncRNA